rnacentral:lncRNA from 14 species
CAUCACUUUGGGGCUCAGCAUCCCACACCCCUCCCUCCUUUCCCCACAGGGUACCAGUGGCAUUGAUGGACCACCAGGACCUAAAGGCAACGUGGUGGGUACCACUGGGAUCCCCCCCCCCAAUCUGGAUUAACUGGGAUACUCCUGGAAGUGCACAUCCCCCCUCGGAGGGGGUUUCUCUGCACUAACGGAUAUUCCCUGCCCUUCCUUAGGGAAUCCAUGGGGAGCCAGGAGCCCCAGGGCAGCAAGGGAACCCUGGUCCCCAGGUACCCCGAGGUGAUGGGUGCCCAUGGGGGUCACUAUGGGGCUGGGGGCCACUUCCCAUCACCCUCCUGUGUUGUCCCCCCCUCCAGGGUCUGCCUGGUCCCCAGGGCCCCGUGGGGCUGCCAGGGGAGAAGGUGAGUGAGGAGCUGGUGUGGAUGGAAGGGAUGGGAUCCUGAUCCCUCUUCAUCCCAAUCCCUCUGCAUCCCGAUCCCUCUGCAUCCCAAUCCCUCUGCAUCCCGAUCCUUUGACAUCCCAGUCCCUCUUCAUCCCUAUCCCUCUGCAUCCCAAUCCCUCUUCAUCCUAAUCCCUCUUCAUCCCGAUCCUUUGGCAUCCCCAUCCUUCUUCAUCCCGAUCCUUUGGCAUCCCGAUCCCUCUUCAUCCCGAUCCCUCUGCAUCCCAAUCCCUUGGCAUCCCAACACCUCCCGCUCCCACCCAGGGCCUGCUGGGAAAGCCGGGAAUGCCGGGCAUCGCUGGAGCCCAUGGGCCCCCUGUGAGUAGCAGUGAGGGGUCUGUGGGAUGGAGGUGGGAAGCACCGGGAAGCAUCCCAAAUCCUGGCUCUUCUGCAUCCCUGCAGGGGCAUCGGGGCCGGGAAGGGCCAGCAGGAGAGAAGGGCCUGCAGGGCCCUGUGGGUGCCCCGGGUCCCAUUGGCUACCCAGGACCCCGUGG